UUAAUAUGAAGUCUGUGUGUUGAACUAGUCCACUGUUCACUAAAGGAGACCCGAGUGUAGAACCGCACGUGGUAAUCGCAGUCCCGAGGCCGUCGCAGCGACCGUCGUCCCAGCGACCACGGCGAGAUAAAAAGGAAUUACUCCUCGUCAAAUUGUGUGCACUCGAAAAGAUAAGACAACGCAAACAAUAUUUACAACAACACAGAAAACAUCUCGAGACCGGACUCGAGUCCCGCAGCUCUAGAAGUCGAUAUCAAAAUAAAAUAGGAACGCCGUUAUCUUCACUGUCCAAAUGAACUAUGAAGACUAGUCGGGGCUGUGAAAAAAAUACAGCAAGGCAGACAGUCAAUAAAGCAACUACAUUUAUUUUGUAGGUGUGAAAAUAUUUCAGACAAGAUCAAACCGAUUCAAUGGUCAUCUGCACAAGGUGAUGGAAAAAAAGCUUUUUACCCCCCUAUGUUUUAACAGGCCACUGGCACUGAGUAGAGGUGUGUGCACGAUCGCCUUUAAAUUCCUAUUCCCGGGACCGUCCUGAAACACCUCCAGGUACUGUACUGAACUGACUCCUGGUACUGUACUGAAACACCUCCAGGUACUGUACUGAAACACCUCCAGGUACUGUACUGAAACACCUCCUGGUACUGUACUGAACUGACUCCAGGUACUGUACUGAAACACCUCCUGGAUGCUGCUGUAGACAUCCUCCUGCCAUCAUUAAACUAUAAGGCGUUUCUGUGACGUGCUGCGCUCCCAGUUAGAGGAGAUGACCCGUUGAGUGGUCUUAAUAAAACAAAACAAAACCUCUAAUACAAACGCAAGACUCUUCAUCGAUCUUCGUUUCCUUUUCUAAAACAUUUACAGCGUCUAGCAUUGAAGCGCUCACUGCAGACUCACCACCUCCGGGUAAUAUCCCCAGACCCCGAGCACUGGGGAAGAUCAGUGAAGGCCUCGUUCAUAAUUGAUGGUGGAACCAGAGGAGCUGUUUUUCAGGAUUAUUACGAGAGCCGAGUCCAUUCCCACGUGUGCGAAGAGAGAAAUUCACGGCUCAAAGUUUCAUUCAACAUUACACACACAUCUAAGAGCUGAACCAGGCCCUGGGGAGUGUUCUUUAUUGAAACGCUAAAGGCCUUGAGAAGAUUAUUUUGUGGACCAGGACAGGUGCAUCAAACGCCGAACAGAAUAAUAAUCGUCCUCCAGCAGGGUUGUGUCUAUAAAACAGCAGUGCCGCGUCGCAUCGCCAUUCUGCUCACCGUUGUCGCUGUAGCUGUUUAAAAAAGGACAAGUAACGCUCACGAUCAACGAGCGGAUAGAUUUUCUUUGACGUGACUCACAUGGAGCUUAAUUUGCAUUUAAACGUGUGUCGCGUGCCCUCGCUCGUCCCCUCGCGGAUGAACUAUUGAGCGUAAGGUACCGCGAGUUUAUAAUAGUGGCGAUAAGUACACAUAUCGUCGAGUUCACACUUUGUCAGACGAAGUUAAAAUACAACACGGAUUGGUUGAGCGGUUUCGGAAAAAAAAACAACAUAAAGAAACCUUCGAAGAAGCUGCGUUUAACGUAGAUCGCAGCGGAGUUACGAAAUGCAAGUUUACGCUAACUAUCGGCGACAAGACUGACCAUCACUGUGGGUAAAUAAAUCAAAACAAAUCUGCAGCAGUAAAACAUGAUUAGUCGUGUAGUCAAAUUGUGACGUCGCCGCGUACAUGGUCCGAAAAAGAGCGCAGAAAAGAAAAGAAAAGAGGGGAAAAGCCUGACCUACAGUUACCACACUCCCGAAGAUCGCUGUCUGGAAGAAAAGCCAUUCUAGCCAGAGCUGUUAUGAGAACUCUUCCGUAACAUGACCAAUCAAACGGGCUGCACUAUUUCUAGCUCCGCCCCCCACGUCCCUGUUCGGCUUUUCAGCACUUGAUUACAGUAGAUCUCACUAAACGAUGCAAAUAACAGUGAAGAGAGUUUUACCUUGUCAUGUCAUAGUAAUAUUUGUGAUACUUUUUAGUCUUUCUCAUCGGUGCGUAAAAUCUCCCUCGGGUAUAUUGUAUUUAACCAUAGUCUAAGGUACAUGGUGAAUUAUUUAAUGUUUCAUCUGAGCUUUUUUAGUAGCGACGUAACGAGUAUGAAUACACCGUUGGAGAAUGAGCAGGUAAUCGUGUUCUAAACUGAUACAAACACUCAGUACGUUUACAUGGACCACGAUAAUCCGAUAUUAAUCCGAUUGAGACGAUAUUCUGAUUGAGAAACUAGCAUGUGAACAGAGAUUACUGACGACCUUAAUCUGAUUAAAGUCACACUCGGAGUAAACACAGAUGGAAUUACGUCAUGUGGCGUAUUCCUGUUUUAUUCACGUUAUCGACGUGCGUUACAGACGCGUACACGCCUUAAUCACACUAUUAACGUCGUGCGAGAGUUUUCACCGUAUUGUGCGACAGGACACGUACACACACGGCAGCGCUCGAGCGUUUUACGGCGAACAAGAGAACGCGUCCCAAACCGCGUACUUACGCGCGGUGUAGUAGGCGAGAUGCAUGUAUUUAUGUAAGUACGCGGUUCGGGACGCAGCCCACGGCUUCAAUCGGUCGUCUGUUUGCACGUACAGCGCGACUAAUAAUCAACCGCACUUGAAGCUUUCAUAAAAAAAUUAUAAAUGAAACACCCGAAACUGUAUAUGGUACCAUAACGAAGAUGAACUGUAUGUCGAUAGGUGAAAUUCUGGAGGGAUGACGGACAUAUAUGUAUAUUUAAUAAUAAUAAUAAUAAUAAUAAUAAUAA
ensembl:lncRNA